UAUUGAAACACCGGUUUCUGUAAGAUCACCGAAGUUAAGCUUUGUUGAGUCUGGUCACUACCUAGAUGGGUGACUGCUUGGGAAGACCAAGUGUUGUG